rnacentral:rRNA from 1 species
UACAGAGGGGGCAAGCGUUAUUCGGAAUUAUUGGGCGUAAAGGGCGCGUAGGCGGCUUGGCAAGUGGAAGGUGAAAUCCCUCGGCUUAACCGAGGAACUGCCUGUCAGACUGGAAGGCUUGAGACCGGGAGAGGUGAGUGGAAUUCCCAGUGUAGCGGUGAAAUGCGUAGAUAUUGGGAGGAACACCAGUGGCGAAGGCGGCUCACUGGACCGGAACUGACGCUGAGGCGCGAAAGCGUGGGGAGCAAACA